rnacentral:rRNA from 1 species
AGUGAACGCUGGCGGUAGGCCUAACGCAUGCAAGUCGAACGGCAGCACAGUAAGAGCUUGCUCUUACGGGUGGCGAGUGGCGGACGGGUGAGGAAUACAUCGGAAUCUACUUUUUCGUGGGGGAUAACGUAGGGAAACUUACGCUAAUACCGCAUACGACCUACGGGUGAAAGCAGGGGAUCUUCCGUCCUUGCGCGAUUGAACGAGCCGAUGUCGGAUUAGCUAGUUGGCGGGGUAAAGGCCCACCAAGGCGACGAUCCGUAGCUGGUCUGAGAGGAUGAUCAGCCACACUGGAACUGAGACACGGUCCAGACUCCUACGGGAGGCAGCAGUGGGGAAUAUUGGACAAUGGGCGCAAGCCUGAUCCAGCCAUACCGCGUGGGUGAAGAAGGCCUUCGGGUUGUAAAGCCCUUUUGUUGGGAAAGAAAAGCAGCAGGUUAAUACCCCGCUGUUCUGACGGUACCCAAAGAAUAAGCACCGGCUAACUUCGUG